CAUGUGCAUGGGCACGCCUGCAGGAGCGGCGCCGCGCAGCGCCGGCGACGAGGCGACGCUCCACUUCAUCCAGUUCGCGCUGCUGGCCGCCGUGCUAGGAACCGCAGCCAAGGCCGCGGCGGCGUUCCACGCGCGCGCGUCGUGGCGCCCGCAGGGCCUCGCGGCCGCCGCGGCCCUGGCCACCGUCGCGUGGGCGGCCACCGCGCUCGCGCUCGGUCUCGCGUGCAAGGAGAUGCGGGCCGCCGCGGCGGCGCGCGGGUGGCGGAUGCGCGCGCUCGAGGCGCUCACCGCGACGCUGGCCGUCACGCAGCUCGCGUACGUGCUCAUGCUGCACCGCGCCGCCGCCGACUCCGACUCCGACGUCGACGCCGACACCCACGCCUACGCUGCCGCUGGCGACGACCAGUGCGAGCCUGGCUGCUCCACCGCUACCGAGGGCGACGACGUCGACUGCCAGGACCAGGACGCGCAGCAGCAGCAACAUGGCCGCCACCACCACCACCACCACAGGCAGGGCGGCGGCGGGCCCUCGUGCAAUGUCAUGUGAACUAGCUUACCAUGCUUGGUGUUGUCACUCUCUUGUCUUGUCAUUUUCCGUGCUCGUGUUUCGUCGCGUGGAAAAUAAGCAAUUUAAAGCUCAGUUUCCUGUCUCAUAUAUGUUCCUUUCCUGUCUGUCAGUAUGUGUAUGUGUUCGUGCCUGUCAGCAUGUGUAUGUGUUUGUGCUGUGUAUUGUGAUGUCCAUUUGCUGCCACGCAUGUUCCCCUUGUGCAUGGCAGUUGAUGUCAAAUUAAUAAAAGGACUUGUUUAUCAAAA
rnacentral:lncRNA from 1 species